GUUCACCCUUUUGUAUGUGAGCAAUGUUUUUUCUUAUGUGCUAUACAAAUAGUUGAAGGUUAAUUGGCAAUGUAACUAUAAAUAGUAAUGCUGCCAGUCUCCUUCAGACAAAA
rnacentral:snoRNA from 1 species